GCCCCGGUAGCCCAACUGGCAGAGGCAGUCGACUUAAAAUCGACACAGUGCGGGUUCGAUCCCCGUCCGGGGCACGA
rnacentral:tRNA from 3 species